GAACGUUUAGAAACAUUCAUUACAUAAGAACAGCCUCCAUGUGAACUUCAGAUAAUAAUGACAGGUGACGGAGAUUUAAAAAAAAAAAAAAAUUAAUUAGAAUUUAGAAAUAGAAUUUAGAACUUCGAAUGUACCGAACUUCGAAUUCCUGAUCAGUAAUGAUUUCGUUAACAAUAAGAGCCUUAGUCGUAAGACUUGCGCGUUGUUAUUCUCUGUUGACUGUGUAUUUCUCGGUCUGAUCUUCUGCAGUUUAGGGAGUGCGGUUCUUCUCUCAGUAUCUUCACCAGAUCAUCAUCAGAAAUUAGAGCGAUGAAGAUUGGGACAAGGUGAGGGAAUCAAAAGAAGUGAAGGAGAAGAUGAAGGAACACCAGGAAAUGCUGGAGAGUAUGAAGGUCUCCUAUCUCAGCAACCUGGACAGAAUCAUGGGGAGAGAGCAAGAAGUGGUGAGAAAUACAGAGUGGUGUUUACUGAGCUGUCUCUAUCGCUAUCUGAGAU
ensembl:lncRNA